CGUACCACCAAAUUGUACCUACAACAAAAACUGAAACUCCAUCAGUGGAUACCUUACGAGUUGGGUCACCUGAACCAUACCCACACCAUAUGACUCAUAUAGUGAGUCAUUACAAAGAUAGUGAGCUUAAAACUCAAGAAAUUUCCAAAGGUCAAAAACCCAGGUGUUUCAAUUAUCCACCACUUAGAUCAUUCAUCCUCGAAUAAUGCGAAAAGGCAGUACAA
rnacentral:lncRNA from 1 species